rnacentral:rRNA from 1 species
GACGAACGCUGGCGGCGCGCCUAAUACAUGCAAGUCGAGCGAGAAGACGUAGCAAUACGUUUGUAAAGCGGCGAACGGGUGAGGAAUACAUGGGUAACCUACCCUCGAGUGGGGAAUAACUAGCCGAAAGGUUAGCUAAUACCGCGUACGCUCCUUGGACUUCGGUUCAGGGAGGAAAGCGAUACCGUGGGUAUCGCGCUCUUGGAUGGGCUCAUGUCCUAUCAGCUUGUUGGUGAGGAACGGCUCACCAAGGCUUCGACGGGUAGCUGGUCUGAGAGGACGAUCAGCCACACUGGCACUGCGACACGGGCCAGACUCCUACGGGAGGCAGCAGUAAGGAAUAUUGCGCAAUGGGCGAAAGCCUGACGCAGCGACGCCGCGUGGGGGAGUGAA